UACGUAGGCAGCAAGCGUUGUUCGGAGUUACUGGGCGUAAAGGGUGCGUAGGCGGUUGUUUAAGUUUGGUGUGAAAUCUCCCGGCUCAACUGGGAGGGUGCGCCGAAUACUGAAUGACUAGAGUGCGGGAGAGGAGAGUGGAAUUCCUGGUGUAGCGGUGAAAUGCGUAGAUAUCAGGAGGAACACCGGUGGUGUAGACGGCUCUCUGGACCGUAACUGACGCUGAGGCACGAAAGCUAGGGGAGCAAACAGG
rnacentral:rRNA from 1 species